GACGAACGCUGGCGGCGUGCUUAACACAUGCAAGUCGAACGGAAAGGCCCUGCUUGCAGGGUACUCGAGUGGCGAACGGGUGAGUAACACGUGGGUGAUCUGCCCUGCACUUCGGGAUAAGCCUGGGAAACUGGGUCUAAUACCGGAUAGGAGCCAUUUUUAGUGUGAUGGUUGGAAAGUUUUUUCGGUGUAGGAUGAGCUCGCGGCCUAUCAGCUUGUUGGUGGGGUAAUGGCCUACCAAGGCGGCGACGGGUAGCCGGCGUGAGAGGGUGGACGGCCACAUUGGGACUGAGAUACGGCCCAGACUCCUACGGGAGGCAGCAGUGGGGAAUAUUGCACAAUGGGCGCAAGCCUGAUGCAGCGACGCCGCGUGGGGGAUGACGGCCUUCGGGUUGUAAACUCCUUUCGCUAGGGACGAAGCUUUUUGUGACGGUACCUAGAUAAGAAGCACCGGCUAACUACGUG
rnacentral:rRNA from 1 species